GGAGUGUUGGAGGGGAAGUACAAUGACUUACCGAAUUGCUCUCUCGUAUCGAUCUGCAAAGGCGCUUGUUGAAAUGCAGAACUGGAGAGCAUUGUUGGAGAAAGAUCAGUUUCAGGUCACAGCUGCGAAUCAAGCAAAGAAGGGGCCGUGUAUUCCAAGGAUGGAAUGAAGGGAAGAUAUACUUUCCGCCAACGUGUAAGUACCUCACCAAAUUCAGAGAGAUAUACAGGAGACAGUUUGCACCAUAAGGAGAAAAAACGAACUCCUGCGUGAUCAGUUAUCAUACGUGCGUGGCGAAUCAAGUUUUUCGGAUCAUAGGCCCGUGUACAUCAUAUUCUGGGCUGAGGUCCAGUCGGUCCAAAGCCGUUUUAGAAGAAGCAUGAGCUCUAGACUCGACUAUGGCGAGGCAUUGUUGCCAUACUCACAUGGCUAUACCGAACUAUGCUUUUUUUAACCCGCCAACAAAACAAAUGGAGCACACAAAGGCUGAUUUUCAUUCGUUAGGUUCGCGCCACAAAUCGUGUAUCAUCAUAUCUAACCAUCCGCUUCUGAUUGCGGCCCGCCAGCUCUCGCCAGUAAACAAGUAAACACGAGUUUACAAUGGCUUUGUCAUAUGCAGGUGCAUCGUAUCCUCAUCACACCACCAAAUGGGAGAUCAAGAUGAUUUCUGUCAUUUUAUAAAUUUUAUUCAUGAUUCUUUGUAGUUGCCUCUAAUGAGUAAUAAAGUAAUUUUUAUCCCAAUCAGCAUGUUGUGAAGCGGCGUAAAUGAAAGUAAAUGUUAUGAGUUA